CACAGAACACUGGCAGGGGUGGCUGGAGGCCCUAGUUGGGAGGUCCCUCACUGCGCCAGACCCCAAGACCUCCAUGCCAGAGAGAAUUCAAAUCUCUGUCAGCCCCAGAACACUGGCGGGAGUGUCUCAAGGCCCCUAUUGGGAGGUCCCUCGCUGAAUGGAACCUCAAGACCUCCAUCCCAAAGAGAAUUCAAAUCUCUGUCAGCCUGAGAACACCAGCGGGGGUGGCUGGAGGCCCCUGUUGGGAGGUCCCUCACUGGGCGGGACCUCGAGACCUCCAUGCUGGGGAGAAUUCAAAUCUCUGUCAGCCCCAGAACGCUGGCGGGGGUGGCUGGAGGCCCCGGUUGGGAGGUCCCGCCCAGCGAGGAGGAAUGGAUUGGGGAUCCACUUAAAGAGGCAGUCUGGCCACAUUUUGGUAGAGCAGCUGUGCUGCGUGGGGGAUCCCUUCUGCCCUCAGUUGGUUUGGGUUCUCAAAAGCCCAACAGGCUGGAAUGGCUAAGUUACCCAAACAACAAAGAUGGUGGCCUGCCCUGUCCCCUAGGAAGUCAGUCUCAGGUAGGUAAAACACUGUUGCUGGUGGCUGGCUGGAGUUGUUUCCUUGAUUAUGUGAGUAAUGCGAGUACCUGGUUGUUUCAGUUGAAGGUGCUGUAUUGACUUGCCCUUUUCAUUCCUCUCCAUGAGAGCCGUGCACCCUAGCUUCUUCUAGUCAGUCAUCUUGGCCACACACCCCCAUAAUCGUAUUUUUUAACUAAAUCAUUCUUUAAAACUCUAACAAAAUAUUUAAACAUUUAAAAAGUGUGAGCUUUAGAAAUGCCUAAUUACAUCUUAGGUUUGAGACACGUAGCAGUUAUGUACAUUGUCAAUUCCAGAUUUUGCAUCUUACAAGGAAAGGACUUAGAUCUUAUUCAGUCUUUGUGUGUCUAAACUAUCUUCGCCUGUAAAAUGAGUACAAUGAAGUACUUUAUAGAGUUGUAAAUGUUAUAUGUAAAAAUAUAGCAGUGAGGGGGCAGUGGGCUGGCCAAGGUGGCCGAGUUGAAGCAGCUAGUGUGUUUGGCUCUCACAGAGAGGAACACAAGGGGAGAGUCAAUACUGCACCUUCAACUGAAACAUCCAGGUACUCACAUUGGGACUAACCAAGGAAACAACUUGACCCAGGGAGAAUGAAGAAAAGAAAGGCAAAACGACAGCCCACCUGGGAGUACCACAGAGCCAGGGGGAGCUCUCUCACCCAGGGAAGCAGUGAGUGAAUGUGUGACCCUGGAAACCCAUGCUUUUUCCAUGGAUCUUUGCAAUCCUUGGGUCGGGAGUUCUCAUGAACCCACUUUACCAGGGCCUUCAGUCUGACAGAGCUACGUGGAAUCUUGGCACAGCAGCCACUCAGGCACACAUGGAGACCUGGGAGCCUUAGGUACCUGGGCUUUCCUGCAAAAGUAGCUGCAACUGUGGCAAAGUGGGAGGUGAGACCCUCAUACAUAUCCCUAGGGAAGAGGCUGAAUUCAGGGAGCUGAGCAGCAACAGCCUGCAGGCCCCACUUCCACAGCACCUCACAGGAUAAGAGCCACUGGCUUGGAAUUCCAGCCAGCCACCAGCAACACUGUUGAGCCUCCCUGAGACAGAGCUCCUGAGAGAAGGGGUAGGCCACCAUCUUUGCUGUUUGGGCAACUUAGCUGCUCCAGCCUUCGGGAUUUGGAGAGUCUCAGCGGACCAGGGACAGAGGGAUCCAUUAGCACAGCACAGUGCUACUCUACCAAAAUAUGGCCGGACUACUGCUUUAAGAAGGUCCCCAAUCCCAUUCCUCCUCACUGGGCAGGACCUCCCAACCAGGGCCUCUAGCUACCCACUCUGGUAUUCUCAGGCUGACAGAGAUUUGAAUUCUCCCUGAGAUGGAGUGCCCUGAGGGAGGCGUGGGCCGCCAUAUUUGAUGUUUUGGCAACUUAGCCAUUCCAGCCUUUGGGCUUUAAGGAGUCCCAGCUGACUUAGGGCGGAUAUGGCCCCCCAGCACAGCACAGCUGCUGUACAAAAGCAUAGCCAGACUGCUUCUUUAAGUAGGUCCCGGAUUCAUUCCUCCUCACUGUUUGGGACUUCCCAACUGGGGCCUCCAACCACCCCCACUGGUGUUCUCCUGCUGACAGUGAUUUCAAUUUUUUCUGGGCUGGAGCUCCCUGAUGGAGGGGCAGGCCACCAUCUUUGCUGUUUUUGCAACUUAGCCACUUCAACCUUCAGUCUUUGGAGUGUCCAAGGAGACCAGGGGGUGAUGUGGACCCUCAGCAUACCACAGCUGCUCUAUAAAAAUGAGGCCAGACUGCGUUUUUAAGCACUUUCCCAAUGCCAUUCCUCCUCACUGGGCAAAACCUCCAAACUGGGGUCUCCAGCCACCUCCUACAGGUGUGUUUGGGCCAGCAACAAGUUCAUUCAUACCUCCCUAGGGCAAAGCUUCCAAAGGGAGCGGUAGGCUGCCAUCUUUGCUGUUUCACAGGCUUCACUGAUGAUAACUCCAGGUACUGGAAAAUCUGAGGCUACUAGAGACUGGAGCGGGCCCUGGGCAUACUGCAGCAGCCCUAUGGAAAAGUGGCCAGACUGUUACCUGGGUUCCCAUUCCUAUAUCUUCUCACUAGGCAAGUCUUGCAGGCCUGGACCUCUACCUAACCCCCCCUACCAGAACUGUUGAGCCAGUAGCAACUCAGCCACUCCCUGGAGAGAGCCUCCAGGGGCAACUGAAAGCCUCUCUGCCACUGCUUCUGCAGUGGAACUGUCCUUGCUACCCUCAGACUGAUGAAGGAGCUAACACCCUUAUCUACACCUUCAACAAGCUUUAAUUGACCAAAGCCCAUCUCUCAUGGGUUCUACACACUCCCCACUGCUCAUGACAGGGAACCCCUGGAUUGGCCCCCACAGCACGAAUUCUCCAUCCUGAUUGCUGAUUGCAGUAAACAGUUGCUGUAUUCUCCAGGGGUGGUGGAACUCUGAGGAGACAAACAAAAGACCCUUGGCUACAACCACUACUAAUGUCCCUUCCUCUUCUGCCUCAAAGUUAGGAAAGAAAUAUAAACACUGAGAUUGCCCCAGAGCUGCAGUGGGCAGCCUAGGAGUGCCAAGCCAUGACCUACAGCCAGCACUCAAGGGGGAGAGAAGCACAUUUUCAGAUCAUUGAGAGGGAACAUGGCUGCAACUGUAAGGAAACAUAGGGGAGCCACAUGACCAAGCAAGAGUCUACCAACUGACCAGUAAGCCCAAGUGCCACCUACUGGAUCACAUCCCAAAGCUUCAGCAUCAAAAAUACCUUACUAAUAUACUCCCCUCUGAAACCAGAAAUGAGAAGUCAGCUUCAAAUAAAGACCCUGCACAAAGCCUCAGCCUGGUGAAAACAUCCGAAAAUAAGUCUACGGACUGUACUCAAUCUACACUGCAAUUAAAGGAAAACCCAUAGGUGGAAAUGAGAAGAAACCAAUGCAAGAACUCCAGUAACUCAAAUGGCCUCUGUGUCAUAUGUCCUUCUAACAACCACACCAGUUCUCCAACAAGAGUUCUUAACCUGGAUGAACUGUCUGGAAUUACAUAAAUAUAAUUCAGAAUAUGGAUAGGAAAAAAAAUCAUCAAGACUCAGGAGAAUGGCAAAACCCAAUCCGAGGAAAAUAAGAAUAACAGUAAAGUGUUACAGGAGCUGAAGGAUAAAGUAGCUGGUAUAAUAAAAAAGAACCUAACCGAUCUGAAAGCGCCGAAGAACACAAUACAAGAAUUCCACAAUGCAAUCACAAGUAUUAACAGCAGAAAAAAAAAUCUGAGGAACGAAUCUCAGAACUUGAAGAUUGGUUCUCUAAAAUAAGAUGGACAAAAAUAAAAAAGAAUGAACAAAACCUUCAAGGAGGAUGGGAUUAUAUAAAGAGGCCAAUUCUACAAAUCACUGGCAUCUCUGAAAGGGAGGUGGAGAAAUCAAACAACUUGGAAAACGUAGUUCAGGAUAUCAUCUUUGAAAGCUUCCCUAACCUUGCUAGAAAGGCCAACAGUCAAAUUCAGGAGAUACAAAGAACUCCUACAAGAUUCUACACAAGACCAUCCUCAAGACACAUAAACAUCAGGUUUUCCAAGGUCGAAAUGAGGGAAAAUAUGUUAAAGGCAGCCAGAGAGAAAGGGCAGGCCAUCUACAAAGGGAACCCCAUUAGGCUAACAGCAGAUCUCUCAGCUGAAAUCCUACAAGCCAGAAGGGAUUGGGGGACUAUAUUUAACAUUAUUAAAGAAAAUCUUCAACCAAGAAUUUCAUAUACAGCUAAACUAAGCUUUCUAAAUGAAGGAGAAAUGAGAUCAUUUACAGACAAGCAAAUUCUGAGGUAAUUCAUUACCACCACAUCUGCCUUACAAGAGAUUUUAGAAAGGAGGACUAAAUAUAGAAAGGAAAGACCACUACACGCUAAUGCAAAAACAUACUUAAACACACAGACCGGUGACACUAUAAAGCAACCACACAAAAAAGCCAACAUAAUAACCAGCCAACAGCACAAUGACAAGAUCAAAUCUACACAAAUCGAUACUAGCCUUGAAUGUAAAUGGGCAAAUGCCCCACUUAAAAGGCACAGAGUGGCAAGCUAGAUUUAAAAAAAAAAAAAGCGAGACCCAAUGGUAUGUCGUCUUCAAGAGACCCAUCUCACACAUAAUGACACUCAUCGUCUCAAACUAAAAGGAUGGAGAAAAAUCUACCAGACAAAUAGAAAACAGAAAAAAAGCAGAGGUUGCAAUCCUAAUUUCAGACAAAACAGAUUUCAAAUGAACAAUAAUUUUUCAAAAGGACAAGGGGGCAGGGGCAAGAUAGCCGACUAGAAGCAGCUGCAGUUUGAGGCUCCCACUGAGAAGAACUAAAAGAGUGUGCAAAUCCUGCAGCAGCAACUGACAUAUCCAGGUUCUAUGAUCAGGACUGACUAGGUGGUUGCCGUGACCCAUAGAGAACAAGGAAAGAUGGGCUGGUGGAUUGGCCCACCUGGGAGCCACAUGGGGCAAGGGGAGCCCUCACCCUCAGCCAGCCAAGGGAGGCAGUGAGUGAGCAUGCUACCCAGCCUGGGAAACUGCUUUUUCCAUGGAUCUUUGCAAUCCACAGAUCAGAAGAUCCCACUCAUGAGACCACACCACGAGGGCCUUGGGUGCCAACCACAGAGCCAUGCAGAUUCUCAACAGCCACUCAGCUGGAGUCUGCCUAAAACUACCGAGUUCCCAAGUUGGGGAGGGGUGGUCAUCAUCACUGUGGCUGCCUGCUGCCUAAACCCUCUGAGUUCCCUGGGGGAGGGGGAGCAAUCAUCACUGUGGUUGCUGGCUGCCUAAGACAACUGAGCUUCCCAAGAGAGGGGCAGUCAUCAUCACUGCAGCUGCCUGCUGCCUGAGGAAACUGAGCUCCCUAAGAAGGGACAGCAGCCAUCACUGUGGCUGCUAGCUGCCUAAGACACUGAACUCCUGGGGAGGAAGGGCGGCAGCCAUUUCUACAGAUCCAGGCUGCUGUUUUUCCUUUGCUGAUGCCAGGAAGACUGGACGGCUUGGUCCCAAGAGGUAUUCCCCACAGCGCAGCAUACUGGCUGUGGCAGAUCAUGGCCAGACUGCCUCUUUAGGCUGACCCUGACCCAUCCCUCCUCACUGGGUGGGGCCUCCCUGCAGGAACUCCAGCAACUCAAGCCAGGGAAUUAGGGAGAGAACUCUGAUCUCUCUAGGUCUGAGUCCCUAGUGGGAGGGGUGGCUGGCUGUUGUCUCCACAAACCGGAAGACUUGUUCUUUCCCCCUGCUCACUCUGAGGAUUCCAGGCAGCCCAGAUGAGUGGGAUUUUCCCCGGCACAGCAUACCCCCUUCCCAAAGGGACAAUCAAAGUGCUUCAUUAAGCAAGUCCUGGAUCCUGUGCCCCUCAACUGGGUGAAACACCCCAGUGGGUCACCAGACACCUUAUACAGGAGCAUUUCUACUGGCAUCAGGUGGGUGCCCCUCAAGGACAGAGAUCCCAGAGGAAGGAGUGGGGUCCCAUCUUUGCUGUUCUCCAGCACCCUCUGGUGACAUCUUCAGGUGUGGGAGGGACCCAGAUAAAUAGGGCUUGAAGUGAAUCCCCAGCAAACCACAGCAGCCCUACAGAAGAGGUACCUGACUGUCGAAAGAAAAACAGAAAGCAACAACAACAUCAACCAAAAAGUCCCCACGAAAACCUCAUCUAAAGGUCAGCAGCCUCAAAGAUCAAAAUGAGACAAACUCAUGAAGAUGAGAAAGGAAUGAAAAACCCCUAACAACUCAAAAGGCCAGAGUGACUUGUUUACUCCAAAUGAUCACAACACCUCUACAGCAAGGGCACAGUCCUGGGUGGAGGUUGAGAUGGAUGAAUUGACAGAAGUAGGCUUCAGAAGGUGGGUAGUAGCAAACUUCACUGAGCUAAAGGAGUACGCUCUAACCCAACAUAUUGGAACGAAUCCCAGAACUUAAAGAUUGGUUCUCUAAAAUAAGACAGACAAAAAUAAAAAAGAAUAAAACGGAAGGAAGAAAACCUCCAAUAAGUAUGGGGUUAUAUAUAGAGGCCAAUUCUACAAAUCACUGGCAUCCCUGAAAGGGAGGUGGAGAAAUCAAUGCAUUGGGUUAGAACAUGCUCAUUUAGCUCUGUGAAAUUUGUUAUUACCCACCUUCUGAACCCUACUUCUGUCAGCAAAGAAGCUAAGAACCAUGUUAAAAGAUUACAGAAGAUGCUAACUAGAAUAACCAGUUUAGAGAGGAACAUAAAUGACCAGAGCCAGCUGUAAAGCACAUAAGGGGAACUUUGUGAUGCAAACACAAGUAUCAACAGCUGAAUUGAUCAAGCAGAAAAAAGAAUAUCAGAGCUUGAAGACUGUCUUGCCAAAAUAAGGCAGGCAGAGAAGAUUAGAGAAAAAAGAAUGAAAAGGAAUGAACAAAACCUCAAAGAACUGUGGAACUAUGUAAAAGACCAAACCUAUGACUGAUUGGACUACCUGAAAGAGACAAGGAGAAUGGAGCCACGUUGGGAAAACACACUUCAAGAUAUCAUCCAGAAGAACUUCCCCAACCUAGCAAGACAGGCCAACAUUCAAAUUCAGGAAAUCCAGAGAACCCCAGUAAGAUACUCCACAAGAAGAUCAACCCUCAAGACACAUAGUCAUCAGAUUCUCCAAGAUCAAAAUGAAGGAAAAAAUGUUAAAGGCAGACAGAGACAAAGGGCAGGUCACCUACAACGGGAAGCCCAUCUGACUAAGAGUGGGCCUCUCAGCAGAAACCCCACAAGCCAGGAGACAGUUGGGUCCAAUGGUCAACAUUCUUAGAGAAAAGAAUUUCUAACCUAGAAUUUCAUAUCUGGCCAAACUAACCUUCAUAAGUGAAGGAGAAAUCCUUUUCAGACAAGCAAAUGCUGAGGGAAUUUAUCACCACCAGGCCUGCCUUGCAAGACCUCCUGAAGGAAGUGCUAAAGAUGGAAAGGAAAAACUGGUACCAGCCACUGCAAAAAUGUACUGAAGUACAAAGACCAAUGACACUAUGAAGAAACUGCAUCAACUAGUGAGCAAAAUAACCAGCAAGCAUCAUGGUGACAGGAUCAAAUUCACACAUAACCAUAUUAACCUUAAGUGUCAAUGGGCUAAAUGUACCAAUUAAAAGACACAGACCAGCAAAUUGGAUAUAAAGAGUCAAGAUUCAGGUGUGCUGUAUUCAGGGUUCCUAUCUCAUGUGCAAAGACACACAUAGGCUCAAAGCGAUGGAGGAAAAUUUACCAAGCAAAUGGAAAGCAGAAAAAAGCAGGGGUUGCAAUCUUAGUUUCUGACAAAACAGACUUUGAAUCAACAAAGAUAAAAAAAGACAAAGAAGAACAUCACAAUGAUAAAGGAAUCAAUUCAACAAGAAGAGCUAACUAUCCUAAAUAUGUAUGCACCCAAUACAGGAGAACCCAGAUUCACAAAACAAGUUCUUAGAGACCUACAAAGAGACUCAGGCUACCACACAACAAUAGUGGGAGACAUUAACACCCCACUGUCAAUAUUGGAUCAUCUAGGCAGAAAAUUGACAAGAAAGGACUUGAACACAGCUCUGGAUCAAGUGAAUCUCAUAGAUAUCUACAGAACUCUCCAACACGAAACAACAGACUAUAUAUUAUUCUUAGUGGCAUAUGACACUCUAAAAUUGAUCACAAAAUUAGAAUUAAAACACUCCUCAGCAAAUGCAAAAUAACUGAAAUCAUAACAAUCUCUCAGACCACAGUGCAAUCAAAUUAGAACUCAAGAUUAAGAAACUCACUCAAAACCACACAACUACAUGGAUAUUGAACAACGUGCUCCUGAGUGACUUCUGGGUAAAUAAUAAAAUUAAGGCAGAAAUCAAGAAGCUCUUUGAAACCAAUGAGAACAAAGAGACAAUGUACCAGAAUCUCUGGGAGGCAACUAAAGCAGUGUUAAGAGGUAAAUUUAUAGCACUAAAUGCCCACAUCAUAAAGCUAGACAUAUCUCAAAUUGACACCCUAACAUCACAACUAAAAGAACUAGAGAAGCAAGAGCAAACAAAUCCAAAAGUUAGCAGAAGAGAAAAAAAAAAAUGACUAAGAUCAAAGUGGAACUGAAGGAGACAGAGACAUGAAAAACCCUUCAAAAAAAAAAAGAAAGAAAUAAAACAUGUUCAAAUAGCAAGAGAUAAAAUCAAAUUGUCUGUGUUUGCAGAAAAUGUGAUUCUAUAUCUAGAAAACCACAUCGUCACAGCCCAAAAACUCCUUAAGCUGAUAAGCAAGUUCAGCAAAGUCUGAAGAUACAAAAUCAAUGUGCAAAAAUCACAAGCAUUCUUAUACACCAGCAAUAGACAAUAUUCUUCAAUUCCUAUACACCAACAAUAGGCAAGAGAGCCAAAUCAUGAAUGAACUCCCAUUCACAAUUGUUACAAAGAGAAUAAAAUACCUAGGAAUACAGCUAACGAUGGAUGUGAAGAACCUCUUCAAGGAGAACUACAAGCCACUGCUCAAGGAAAUAAGAGAGGACACAAACAAAUGGAAAAAUAUUCCAUGCUCAUGGGUGGGAAGAAUCAAUCUCAUGAAAAUGGCCAUACUGCCCAAGGUAAUUUAUAGAUUCAGUGCUAUUCACAUCAAACUACCAUUGACAUUCUUCACAUAAUUAAAAAAAAACUACUUUAAGUUUCAUAUGCAACCAAAAAAGAGACUGAAUAGUCGAGACAAUCCUAAGCCAAAAGAACAAAGCUGGAGGCAUCAUGCUAUAUGACUUCAAACUAUACUACAAGGCCACACUAAUCAAAACAGCAUGGUACUGUUACCAAAACAGACACACAGACCAAUGGAGCAGAAUAGAGAUCUCAGAAAUAAGACCACACAUCUACAACCAUCUGAUCUUUGACAAACCUGACAAAAACAAGCAAUGGGGGAAGGAAUACCUAUUUAUUUAUUUAUUUAUUUAUUUUGAGACAAAGUCUCACUCUGUCACCAGGCUGGAGUGCAGCGGCAUGAUCUCAGCUCACUGCAACCUCUGCCUCCCGGAUUCAAGUGAUUCUCCUGCCUCAGCCUCCUGAGUAGCUGGGACUACAGGUUCGAGCCACCACGCCCAGCUAGUUUUUGUAUUUUUAGAAGAGACGGGGUUUCACCAUGUUGGCCAGGAUGGUCUUGAUCUCUUGACCUCAAGAUCCACCUGCAUCAGCCUCCCAAAGUGCUGAGAUUAUAGACAUGAGCCACUGCACUUGGCCAGGAUUCCCUAUUUAAAUGGUGCUGGGAAAACUGACUAGCCAUAUGCAGAAAACUGAAACUGGACCUCAUCCUUACAUCUUAUGCAAAAAUUAACUCAAGAUGGAUUAAAAACUUAAAUGUGAAACCCCGAACUGUAAAAAACCCUAGAAGAAAAUCUAGGAAGUUCCAUUCAGGACAUAGGCAUGAGCAAAGAUUUUAUGAUGAAAUCAUCAAUAGCAAUUGCAACAAAAGCAAAAAUUGAUAAAUGGGAUCUAAUUAAACGUAAGCACUUCUGCACAGGGAAAGAAACUAUCAUCAGAGUGAACAAGCAACCUACAGAAUGGGAGAAUAUUUUUGCAAUCUACCAAUCUGACAAAGGUCUAAUAUCCAGAAUCUACAAGGAACUUAAACAAAUUUACAAGAAAAUAACAACCCCAUCAAAACAUGGGCAAAGGCCACGAACAGACAUUCUGAAAAGAAGACAUUUAUGCGUCCGACAAACAUAUGAAAAAAAAAGCUCAACACUAGUGUUUAUUAGAGAAAUGCAAAUCAAAACCACAAUGAGAUACCAUCUCAUGCCAGUCAGAAUGGCAAUUAUUAAAAAGUCAAGAAACAACAGAUGCUAGAGAGGCUGUGGAGAAACAGGAACACUUUUACACUGUUGGUGGGAAUGUAAACUAGUUCAACCAUUGUGGAAGACAGUGUGGCAAUUCCUGGAGGAUCUAGAAGCAGAAAUACCAUUUGACCCAGCAAUCCCAUUACUAGGUUUAUAUCCAAAGAAAUAUAAAUCAUUCUGUUUUAAAGAUACAUGCACACUUAUGUUUAUUGCAGCACUAUUCACAAUAGCAAAGACAUGGAAUCAGCCCAAAUGUCCAUCAAUGAUAGACUGGAUAAAGAAAAUGUGAUACAUAUACACCAUGGAAUACUAUGCAGCCAUAAAAAGGAAUGAGAUCAUGUCUUUUGCAGGGACAUGGAUGAAGCUGGAAGCCAUAAACUUCAGCUAAUUAACACAGGAACAGGAAACCAAACACCACAUGUUCUCAUAAGUGGGAACCGAACAAUGAGAACACAUGGACACAGGGAGGGGCAGAACACACACCGGAGCCUGUUGGGAAGGUAGGGGGAAGGAGAGCAUCACGAUAAAUAGCUAAUGCACGUGGGGCUUAAUACCUAGGUGAUAGGUUGAUAGGUGCAGCAAACCACCAUGGCACAUGUUUAACUAUGUAACAAACCUGCACAUCCUGUACAUGUAUCCUGGAACUUAAAAUAAAAUAGAAAAGACAAAGAAGGAUAUUACAUAAUGGCAAAGGCUUCAAUUCAACGAGAAGACCUAACUAUCCUAAAUAUAUAUUCAUCCAAUGCAGGAGCACCCAGAUUCAUAAGUAAAGUUCUUAGAGACCUACAAAGUAUGUUUCACAGUAAUAGUGGGAGAUUUCCACACUCCAAUGACAGUAUUAGACAGAUGAUUGAGGCAAAAAAAUGAACAAAGAUAUUCAGGACCUGAACUCAACAUUGGAUCAAAUGGAUCUGAUAGACCUUUACAGAACUCUGCACUCAAAAACAACAGAAUAUGCAUUCCUCACAUCAUCAUAUGCCACAUACUCUAAAAUCAACCACAUAAUUGGACAUAAAGCAAUCCUCAGCAAAUGCAAAACAACUGAAAUCAUACCAAAUACAUACUGAGAUCACAGUGCAGUAAAAAUAGAAGACUAAGAAAAUUGCUGAAAAUCAUGCAAUUACAUGGAAAUCAAUCAACAUGCUCCUGAAUGACUUUUUAAUAAAUAAUGAAAUUAAGGCAGAAAUCAAGAAGCUCUUUGAAAAUAAUGAGAACAAAGUUACAACAUACUAGAGCCUCUGGACACAGCUAAGACAAUGUUAGGAGGGAAAUUUAUAGCACUAAAUCCCACAUCAAAAAGUUAGGAAGAACUCAAAUUAAUAACCUAACAUCACAACUGAAAGAACUAGAGAAGCAAGACAAAACCCCAAAGCUAGAGGAAGACAAGAAAUAACUGAAAAUCUGAGCUGAACUGAAAGAAACCGAGACAUGAAAAAAAGAAAUUCAAAAGAUCUAUGAAUUCCGGGUAGGUUUCUUGAAAAUAUUAAUAAGAAAGUCUGCUAGCAGACUAAUACAGAGGAUGAUUGAAAGAAACACAAUUAGAAAUGACAAAGGGAAUGUUACCACUGACCCCACAGAAAUAGAAACAGCCAUCAGAAACUACUGCAAACACUUCUAUGCAUACAAACUAGAAAACUUCAAAGAGAUGGAUAAAUUCAUGGAGAAAUACACCCUCCCACAACUGAGCCAGGAAGAAAUUGAUUUGCUGUAAACAGACCAAUAACAAGCUCCGAAAUUGAAUCAGUAAUAAAUAACCUACCAACCAAAAAAAGCCCAGAACAUGAUGGAUUCCCAGUCAUAUUCUACUAGAAAUACAAAGAAGAGCUGGUACCAUUUUUACAGGAACUAUUUGAAAAUAUUGAGGAGGAGGAACUCCUCCCCAACUCAUUCUAUGAGGCCAACAUCAUCUUGAUACCAAAAUCUGGCAGACACACACACACACACACACACACACACACACACACACACACACACACACACUCUUCAGGCCAAUACCCUCGAUGAACAUCAAUGCAAAAAUCCUCAACAAAAUACUGGCAAACCAAAUCCAGCAGCACAUCAAAAAGUUAAUCCAUCAUGAUCAAGUAUGCUUCAUCCCCAGGAUGCAAGGUUGCCUCAACAUACACAUAUCAAUUAAUCUGAUUCAUCACAUAAACAAAACUAAAGAUAAAAACCAUGUGGUUAUCUCAAUAUAAGCAGAAAAGGCUUUCAAUAAAAUUCAAUGCCUCUCCAUAUUAAAAACUCUAAAAAAUCUGGGUAUUGAAGAAACAUAGCUCAAAAUGAUGAGCUGUUUUUGUAUCAGUAUCAUGCUGUUUUGGUUACUGUAGCCCUGUAGUAUGGUUUGAAGUUGGGUAACAUGAUGCCUCCAGCUUCGUUCUUUUUGCUGAGGAUUGCUUGGCUAUUAGGGCUCUUUUUUUUGGUUCCAUAUGAAUUUUGAAAUAGUUUGCUCUAGUUCUGUGAGGAAUGCCGUUGGUAAUUUAAUAGGGAUAACUUGCAUCUGUAAAUUACUUUGGGCAGUAUAGCCAUUUUAAUGACAUUAAUUCUUCCUAUCCAUGAGCAUGACAUGUUUUUCCAUUUGUUUGUGUCUUCUCUGAUUUCUUUGAGCAGUGUUUUGUAAUUCUUCUAGAGAUCUCCUAGAGAUCUUUCACCUCCCUGGUUAGCUGUAUUCCUAGGUAUCUUAUUUUUUCUGUGUGUAGCAAUUAUGAAUGGGAUUGUGUUCUUCAUUUGACUCUCUGCUUGACUUGAUGUAUAGGACUGCUAGUAAUUUUUGCACAUUGAUUUUGUAUGCUAAGACUUUGCUAAAGUUUAUCAGCAGAAGAAGCUUUGGGGCCAAGACUAUGGGGCUUUCUAGAUAUAGAAACAUGUCAUCUGUAAACAGAGACAGUUUGACUUCCUGUCUAUUCCUCUCUUCCCUCCUCUGUUUGGAUGCCCUUCCAGUUUUGCACAUUCAGUGUAAUGUUGGCUGUGGGUUUGUCAUGGCUAGCUCUCAUCAUUUUGGCACUUCUGACUAGAAGGGCAAGAGGGGCCAGUGUUGUUGUUACCUGAAAGGUAAGUGCAGCCCACAAAAAUGCAGUGAAGAAGAAGAUGUAUUAUGCAUAUGUUUAAGUUAAUACAAUUGAGAUAUAUUUAGCAGACAGAAUCAAUAGAGUUGAUGAGUGACUGACUGGAUGUGUGGGGAGUUUAUAUCACUCCCAGGUUUUUGACUUGGGCAACCGGGCACUCAUGAAGGAAAAAGGGGAUCCAGGGAGAGGAACUUUUCUGAGGACUGGGGUAGGGCUGAACAGCUGCAUUCGAGGCUGGUGGAGGGUGGGCUGGGCAUGGGAUGCACAAAUGGAAAUUCCACUGGGUCUGCAGCUCACACAUAGGCAUGACCAGCAUAGAGAUAGAGAGGCCCCAGUGCUGCUGAGUAACUGUGAUUCCCCAGGUGAUGGCAUCAGCUGAGAAGGGAAGGAAGCCCAUGAGAGGACACUGAAGAAGGAGUGAGCAGACAAUAAGAAGCCCACAGAAGACAGAGAAGGAACAACUAGAGGGAGAAGCCAAGGCAGGCGUGUGUGGUAACACAUAGGAACUGAGGGAGAGGACAUUUCAAGAUGGUGGGGAUGCCAUACAACAGGACUAUGUGAUGGUUUUUGGCUGUGUCCAUAGGAAGUCACAACAGGCAAGGGAAAGAAACCAGAACCCAGUCAUGGAGUUAAGAAGUGAGUCAGAGAGUAGAUGGGUAGGGACAGUGAGGUAAGGCCUCUUUCUAAGGAAGUUUGGCUGAAGGAUAGACUAGCUGGACACAUGCUGGCUGUGUGGGGUAGAGGGAGGAAUGAUGGAGGGUAGGAGAGCCUUGAGCCUGCGAGAAGAGUCUCUUAGAAUAGAGAAGCUGAAGUUAAAGUUGUGGAAGAGAGUGGGGAUAACUGAGUGACAGAUAAUCAGGAGAAGAAAAGGAGAUCCAGACUCAUGACAGAGAGAUGACCUUUGCCAAGAGCACAGCCGUCUUUCACGGUCACAGAGAGGUAGGACAAAAUGAGUGGUGUUCAAGAAUUGGUUUGUAGCACAAUAUUUCAACUAUGUCCUUUAAAAAGUUUCUCCACAGACACUACCCAAAGCAGUGCUUCACUACAGUGGCAGACAGACCUGAAAAUUUUCAUCUGAAGCAGCAGAGUGAACUGCAGAGGCAGGUCACCAACCAGUGUGGAGGCUAAAAGCGGGCCUCUUUGGGGAUUCCAGGUGGAAGUGUUGGACAUCUGUAGUAUUCCUGGUCUCGAAUCAUCCUGAUAUUCUUCAUUUUGUUAUUCACAUUGGACUAGGAGAUAGAAUCUCACUAUGUUGACCAGGCUGGUCUUGAACUCUUGGCACCCAAGCGAUCCUUUUGCCUGGAAUCCCAAAGUGUCAGAUUUACUGAAGAAUAUUUCAUUGUAAUUACUUUUUAUACUUUAUAGGUCAAGAGCUCUGUUUUAAAUACAAAAUUUAUUGAAUAUACUUUUUCAAACAAAGUUUCAUGUUCUAAUCAUUGUCUGAUUUCAGCAUUAAAUGAAACACAGUAAAGAAA
rnacentral:lncRNA from 1 species